rnacentral:rRNA from 1 species
CCCUUAGAUGUUCUGGGCCGCACGCGCGCUACACUGACGAAUGCAACGAGCUUAUAACCUUGGCCGAAAGGUCUGGGUAAUCUCCAAAUUUCGUCGUGAUGGGGAUAGAUUAUUGCAAUUAUUAAUCUUCAACGAGGAAUGCCUAGUAAACGCAAGUCAUCAGCUUGCGUUGAUUACGUCCCUGCCCUUUGUACACACCGCCCGUCGCUCCUACCGAUUGAAUGGUCCGGUGAAGCGUUCGGACCGUGGCCUUUGGACGGUUCGCCGUCUGUUGGCUGCGGGAAGUUCGUUAAACCUUAUCAUUUAGAGGAAGGAGAAGUCGUAACA